GGUCAUAUCACGUUAAAAAACCGGUUCCCAUAUGAUCACCGAAGGUAAGCAACGUCGAGUUUGGUCAGUACCUAGAUGAUUGACCGAUUGGGAAUAUCAGGUGCUGUAAG